rnacentral:rRNA from 1 species
AUACGGAGGGUGCAAGCGUUACUCGGAAUUACUGGGCGUAAAGGACGCGUAGGCGGUUUAGAAAGUCAGAUGUGAAAGCCUAUGGCUUAACCAUAGAACUGCAUUUGAAACUUCCAAACUAGAGUGGGGGAGAGGUCAGUGGAAUUAGUGGUGUAGGGGUAAAAUCCGUAGAGAUCACUAGGAAUACUCAUUGCGAAGGCGACUGACUGGAACUUAACUGACGCUGGGGCGUGAAAGCGUGGGGAGCAAACAGGAUUAGAAACCCCAGUAGUCC